rnacentral:rRNA from 1 species
GACGAACGCUGGCGGCGUGCUUAACACAUGCAAGUCGAACGGAAAGGCCCUGCUCUUGUGGGGUGCUCGAGUGGCGAACGGGUGAGUAACACGUGAGUAACCUGCCCUUGACUUUGGGAUAACUUCAGGAAACUGGGGCUAAUACCGGAUAGGAGCUCCUGCUGCAUGGUGGGGGUUGGAAAGUUUCGGCGGUUGGGGAUGGACUCGCGGCUUAUCAGCUUGUUGGUGGGGUAGUGGCUUACCAAGGCUUUGACGGGUAGCCGGCCUGAGAGGGUGACCGGCCACAUUGGGACUGAGAUACGGCCCAGACUCCUACGGGAGGCAGCAGUGGGGAAUAUUGCACAAUGGGCGGAAGCCUGAUGCAGCAACGCCGCGUGCGGGAUGACGGCCUUCGGGUUGUAAACCGCCUUCGCCUGUGACGAAGCGUGAGUGACGGUAAUGGGUAAAGAAGCACCGGCUAACUACGUG